rnacentral:rRNA from 1 species
UACGUAGGCAGCAAGCGUUGUUCGGAUUCACUGGGCGUAAAGGGUGCGUAGGUGGCCAGGUAAGUUCGGUGUGAAAGCUCGGAGCUCAACUCCGAAAUGUCAUUGAAUACUAUCUGGCUGGAGGGUCGGAGGGGAGACUGGAAUUCUCGGUGUAGCAGUGAAAUGCGUAGAUAUCGAGAGGAACACCAGUGGCGAAGGCGAGUCUCUGGACGACUCCUGACACUGAGGCACGAAAGCUAGGGAG